AUUGAACGCUGGCGGCAUGCUUUACACAUGCAAGUCGAACGGUAACAGGCCGCAAGGUGCUGACGAGUGGCGAACGGGUGAGUAAUGCAUCGGAACGUGCCCAGUCGUGGGGGAUAACGCAGCGAAAGCUGCGCUAAUACCGCAUACGAUCUAUGGAUGAAAGCGGGGGACCGUAAGGCCUCGCGCGAUUGGAGCGGCCGAUGUCAGAUUAGGGAGUUGGUGGGGUAAAGGCGCACCAAGCCGACGAUCUGUAGCUGGUCUGAGAGGACGACCAGCCACACUGGGACUGAGACACGGCCCAGACUCCUACGGGAGGCAGCAGUGGGGAAUUUUGGACAAUGGGCGCAAGCCUGAUCCAGCAAUGCCGCGUGCAGGAAGAAGGCCUUCGGGUUGUAAACUGCUUUUGUACGGAACGAAACGGUCCUGGUUAAUACCUGGGGCUAAUGACGGUACCGUAAGAAUAAGCACCGGCUAACUACGUGCCAGCCGCCGCAGUAA
rnacentral:rRNA from 1 species